AGAAGCGAUAUAGAGCGGCAAGAAAACAGGAACAUUGAUCGUCAUUUGCUGUAAUCCGAAACCGAGAUCGUCUGGAGGAAGAAACAUGGCGUCGUUCGUGUGUGUUAUUUUUACUCUAAUUUCCUUCCUGGCUACGACCUGCUCAGCCUUGCGGGUCGAAGAUGAAGCAUCCACGGUCUAUGGGAUUAUGGUUCUGCCUAUAAUCGCCUUCUGCCUCAUCUUCUAUCUGGAACUGCGGAGAGGACCAUAAGCUGAGCGACGAAAAUAUGAGAAGAGGAGGAAGGCUGAGAAUAGACUUGUGGACCAUUUAGAAGAAUUCACUCAGUGUUGUAGUUUACUGUAAUUCUUAACUUAAUCAUUUUUGUUUCUCUCUAAUUUACUCUGAAUUCCAUCGAUAUUUUUAUUAUCGCUUUUGCUUGGAUUAUUCUAUUGUCUCUUCUCAUUUAUUAUCAUGAUUUGUUUUCUGAUUUUCUUAAACUGUUAUUUUGCUGUAUAGGUAAAAAAUGUGAAUAUAUUUUUAA